rnacentral:tRNA from 1 species
GGCCCCGUAGCUCAGUUGGAUUAGAGCAUGGUCCUUCUAAGACCAGGGUCCCAGGUUCGAGCCCUGGCGGGGUCA